rnacentral:rRNA from 1 species
GGAAUAUUGGUCAAUGGACGCAAGUCUGAACCAGCCAUGCCGCGUGCAGGAUGAAGCAUCUAUGGUGUGUAAACUGCUUUUGUACGAGAAGAAACAACUCUACGUGUAGAGUCUUGACGGUAUCGUAAGAAUAAGGACCGGCUAACUCCGUGCCAGCAGCCGCGGUAAUACGGAGGGUCCAAGCGUUAUCCGGAAUCAUUGGGUUUAAAGGGUCCGUAGGCGGUUUAGUAAGUCAGUGGUGAAAGCCCAUCGCUCAACGGUGGAACGGCCAUUGAUACUGCUAAACUUGAAUUAUUAGGAAGUAACUAGAAUAUGUAGUGUAGCGGUGAAAUGCUUAGAGAUUACAUGGAAUACCAAUUGCGAAGGCAGGUUACUACUAAUGGAUUGACGCUGAUGGACGAAAGCGUGGGUAGCGAACAGGAUUAGAUACCCGAG